CCUACGGGAGGCAGCAGUGAGGAAUAUUGGUCAAUGGGCGGGAGCCUGAACCAGCCAAGUCGCGUGAAGGAAGAAGGUACUUAGUAUUGUAAACUUCUUCUACGAGGGAAGAGCAGAAGACGGUACCUCUUGAAUAAGCCACGGCUAACUACGUGCCAGCAGCCGCGGUAAUACGUAGGUGGCAAGCGUUGUCCGGAUUUACUGGGUGUAAAGGGCGUGCAGCCGGGAAGACAAGUCAGAUGUGAAAUCCCGCGGCUCAACCGCGGAACUGCAUUUGAAACUGUUUUUCUUGAGUGCCGGAGAGGUCAUCGGAAUUCCUUGUGUAGCGGUGAAAUGCGUAGAUAUAAGGAAGAACACCAGUGGCGAAGGCGGAUGACUGGACGGCAACUGACGGUGAGGCGCGAAAGCGUGGGGAGCAAACAGGAUUAGAUACCCCGGUAGUC
rnacentral:rRNA from 1 species